UUCUGGGAGCCAGGAGAAGGAGCAAAUAAAGCAGACUGCACAGAUGGAGCAUGGAAAGUCUUUUAACAGAAACGAAUACUUUCAGACCCGUUUUGAAGGACUGAGUAGGAGUAAACUAAAAGAGAAAAAGCAGGACAAAAGAAGCAGCACUUUGGAAGCUCAAAGCCGCACUGGAAACACAGCCUUUCAGGAUGUCUGAAAGAAAGGGGCAAGUCUGUUUGUGUGGGGUAAGAAAUGCGGGGAGACAAACGGACAGUGGACAGAUUGCAGAAGGCUCUAUGUGCUGAGACGAGGGUGCAGACCAGAGUUUUAAACCGAGAAUGCAACAGGGAAGGAUUUCAAGCUUGGAGUGAGAGGGAAGACUACGAGCGUGCAGUGAUAAGGCAAAGCUGAAGAUUCCAGAGCAAAGGCCACGCCCUACAGUUGCCAUGGAAUGGGGUGGCUCAGUGGGCUUUGGAGACUGCUUCCGAGAUUGGAUGAAGAGAAUCUAUUGACAACGCUGUGAAGAGAGGUAUUUGGAGCGUGUAGGGGGAGAAAGUGCUGAGCUUCUUGGUGAGUGUCCCUCCCAACAGAUGAAUAUUCAGCAGAGAAUGGAGAGCUUUCUACCGGAUAUUUGUGUUGUGAACAGUCUUGGAACAUAGAGACAGUGUUUCUGGAGCAAAGGCCAGGCAUGCUCACUGCCCAUUAUAAAGGAUUCGGGUUCCCUGAAUUCAAGAUUCCUCU